rnacentral:lncRNA from 1 species
CUUCACUGAAAAACAAAAAUGCUUUCUGAGUACUAACCAAUAAAACUAAUCUUAUCUCUUCUUCCCAGAUGGUGCAAUAAAGACCUAAAAAUAUCAAAGAAGUUUUCUAAAACAUUACAAGUAAGUGGAAGAAAGAGGAAUAGGGGACCUUAACUCCUCAUUCUAGGAUUAGUAGACUGCAAUUUGUGACUGCAGGUGUGAGGUGAGGUACAUAACUUGAAGAUUAUCGCAGUAUGGUGGCUUAUCGUGACUUGUUAAAGUAGACUGAUGAAUAACAAGCUCUUUCUUUUGACAUUUUCUAGAAUGGCCUUUUGAAAUGGACCCGAUGAAGUUUGUCCUUGCCAGGUCUCCUGUACCCUUUGCCCAGUGCUCCCAUGCCUGUCAAAUAUGUCAAAAACAGAGGGGAUUUUCAUCAGUUGUGUUGGCUCCUUCCUUCACUUCCUGGAACUCAUGUGAGAAUGCACGUCCCCCCCCCCACUGGAAGCAAUUUACUAUGGUAAUAUUGGAGAGUACUGUAAAUAAUCCUGAUUGCAGUGCCCAGAAAGCUUUAUAAUCAGAGAGACCACGUGAAUACAAACUGUGACCGUUUCAAAGGCAAUUUCCUGACCACCACCUCAAAGCACAUGUCAGACACAAAAGUUGUGCCAAUCUACGAGCUCCAAUUGAAAUGAUAGAGUUCACUGCAAGUUCAGCCUGAAUUGGGCUUAAAUGAAAUGAAAUUGAUAGCAGAUGAAAGCUCAACAGGUUGCAGAAUAAUUAUAUACUUGUUACGAUGUUCUCACUAAUUGGAGCACUAGCUCAGUGAACCUCAUCUUCUGGAACUGCUACUGGGGUAACUGGCAGACACAUCUGUUUGGUACGAAUCUGCAUAUUUGCUCAUUUGCCAAAAAUGUAAAGUGGAGCCCUGAAUUAGUUUCAGUUCGCUUCAUCACUUCCAAGCUGAAGAAUCAGCGGAAUAUAUCACAGUGCUUCCCCCCUCCCCUCGACAUGCCAGAUUACAUCCACAAGUGAACGUUCACAAAAGGCAACCUUAAGAAGCAGGCUGUCUGCAAUGGUGAUGGACAGAGACGCCUACACCCUCUGCAUGAACAUGUACUGCUCUCAUUUAUCUAACUAGGGGCCCCGUGCUCAUACCAAAGGGACGGCUGAUAAAAAGACACUCUCGAGAAGCUCUUAUUUUCAAGAUGAAGGUGAAACUUGUAUUUUCUUAAAGGAAGGCCCCUUUGGCUCAUAUUUCAUUCCCUUUGGCAAUGUGUGCAUUCAUAGAUAAGUAUUUUCCUCGUGUCUUCAAACGUUGUGCUUCUAACCGAAUUAAAGUUCAACCUUCAUUAAUCCCGGUGGGGUUCUCUCUAAAAUAACUUGUCG